UAAUACGGAGGGGGCCAGCGUUGCUCGGAAUCACUGGGCGUAAAGGGCUCGUAGGCGGUUUGAUAAGUCCUGUGUGAAAUCCCUUGGCUCAACCAAGGAAUGGCGCAGGAUACUGUCAUACUUGAGGCCGGGAGAGGGAAGCGGAAUUCCCAGUGUAGCGGUGAAAUGCGUAGAUAUUGGGAGGAACACCGGUGGCGAAGGCGGCUUCCUGGACCGGUUCUGACGCUGAGGAGCGAAAGCCAGGGGAGCAAACAGGAUUAGAUACCCUGGUAGUCCUGGCUGUAAACGAUGGGCGCUUGGUGUUGCGGGUAUCGACCCCUGCAGUGCCGGAGCUAACGCAUUAAGCGCCCCGCCUGGGGAGUACGGUCGCAAGGCUG
rnacentral:rRNA from 1 species